rnacentral:rRNA from 1 species
GAAUCGCUAGUAAUCGUGGAUCAGAAUGGCACGGUGAAUACGUUCCCGGGCCUUGUACACACCGCCCGUCACACCAUGGGAGUGGACUGCACCAGAAGUGGUUAGCCUAACGUUGGAGGGCGAUCACCACGGUGUGGUUCAUGACUGGGGUGAAGUCGUAACAAGGUAGCCGUAGGGGAACCUGCGGCUGGAUCACCUCCUU